rnacentral:rRNA from 1 species
GUAGAGUGAGGGAAUAAAAGAUUAAGGAAAAGCCCACCACCUAGGCUAUUGCUAGAGAAGAAGGCAAGAAGGAAAACCGUAAGGGCAAUGAACCAGGGAAAGAACGUAGCUUUCUGUACCUUUUGUAUCAGGGUGGGAGGACUAAGCAAGGAGAGGCCCUUUUCUCCCGAAAAGUAGAGAUUUUCCAUCCCUAUUUUCCAGUGUUGAAAUAUUUGGGAAAAAAGGUUUGGAAGAAAUGAAAAGUUAGUCGUUCUACUUAUAUCUGGUUCCCUAAACUCCCACUUCAAGUGGGUGGUCUCAAGUCCCCCCUUUCCUAUGGGGACUGAUUUGAGAAAAAACCCCCCUGGGGGGUAAGCUCCAGGGAGCUUAGACGACGGAUGCUCGCACCCUCCGGUGCUUACUAGGGGGCAUGUAGAGAAUUUCCUACAGAUCUACCCCGUGAGUUGGGGAAGAGGAAAACCUUUAUUUCCUUUACCAUGAUCUUCCAACAAGUAGCCCAACUAAGUCGAACUAAGGAACUCGGCAAAUGAGGAGCCCGCCUGUUUAAUAAAAACAUCUUCUCCUGAGAGAAUAGGAGGUCGAGCCUGCCCGGUGCAGGGUAAACGGCCGCAGUAUACUGACUGUGCUAAGGUAGCAUAAUAAAUUGGCCUUUAAUUGGGGUCUGGAAUGAAUGGCCUGACGGGGUUCGAACUGUCUCGGUUUGAUAAGGAAGAAACUAAAUUCCUUGUAAAAAUGCAAGGAUGAGAAAGAGGGACGAAAAGACCCUGUAGAUCUUUCUUGGAGGAGGUCCCCCUCCUCCGGGUUGCUUGGGAGGAGACCUAGAAGGAAAACACUGGAUAAAUGACGACUGAUUGGUCUAUGGAAAGAUCCCUUCACUGAAGGAUAAGUAGAUAAAGAUACCUCAGGGAUAACAGGAUAAUUUUACCGCCUCAGAACUUAUGGGGCGUGAAGAUUGUUACCUCGAUGUUGAAUUAAGCUAUCUUCCACAAGCAGAAAGGUGGAAAGUUAGUCUGUUCGACUAUUGAAAGCUUACAUGAUUUGAGUUUAGACCGACGAGAGUCAGGUCAGAUUCUAUCUUCUUUAUAUUCCUCCCCCUUGUACGAAAGGACUGGGGGAGGGGCUCUUUGAGCCUACU